rnacentral:rRNA from 1 species
AUGAUGCUCUACGAAAUCCACUCCCAUGCCCAAAUCCAAGACCUGCAGGCCCGCUCCGAUGAGCUGGGCCACCCCGAAGGCAUAAUGGGUGUGGAUCUUGUCUCUCUGGAGUCGGUGCGCAUAGCGCGCGAGUCGUAUGCACUCCUCUGCCCGCUGAUCAAGGAGUUUGUGUUCUGGGGAUGCCCGCAGCUGAAAAACCUCUCGGUCGUGGCACGCUUGUCGCUGGAAAUCCAAAUGCUCGAGCAUGAUGUGUUACCCCAGCUUAAGGUUCAGGAAGCCAAGCUGGAACAGGGCGCCCUGGAAGCCCUCCUACUCAUGAAGAACUCAGCAGUUAUCCUCUUAGAUCUGAGGAAGCGCUUUAUGUUAGCCUUGGGCGUAUUGCUUGCCGAGGACGAUCUGGUCUUAGCCCGAGUCAAAAAGCUGAGCAUAAUGCUAAAGGAUACUGCUGAUGCUGUACUCAAAGGUGAUGGUAACAUUGCCUGGCUUGAGGAGCGUGUCCUGUUGCUGGUCCAUCUGGUCACCAAUGUGCUGGAGACCCCGGUUCGUUUCUAUGAUCCUGAUGAGGACGAUGAGUAG